GAGUUUCAGGAGGGAGAGGCAGAAUUGCAGUGAGUGAGGAGGUUGCCUUUGCAUUCAGUGUCGCCUGGCUGCCUUUGCAUUCGGUGUCGCCGCGGAGCGCAACCCGAAAAUAUUCAUCCCGAAGCUACUUCAACCUGAGAAAAACUGUGCAGGUGCCAAACAUUCUCCAGUACCCAUCAAGACAAAUGUAAUUAUUUUCCUUUUAAAUGAGACCAGAAUGGUUUAUUUUGCCAACUAUAACAUGCAGUCCUUACACGUUUGUAUCAGAUACUGGGGAACAAUCUUAUUUAAAACUGGCAGCUAAUAACAGAUGUUAGGAAGAUCACUAGGAAGAUUCUCAUUUAGGGGAUGUAAUAUGCAUCAGAGUUUGGGAAGUUACAUUCUCCAGCUACUGCGAGAGGCAAAAAGAAAGAAAUAAAGAAAGAAGUUCAAAGCAAGGGCGGGGAGAGAGAGAGUUGGCUAAAGGUGAACAGUCCCUAAUCUUCCAUCCAACCUACUUAAAUUUCAGCAAGUGCUAUUCUUAAAGGGAAGCUAACUCAUGUGUGAAUCUAAGCAAAAUCAUUUGGAUUCCAUAUGUAUGGUAGUCCAGGUGCUAUUCUGUAUAAAAGAGUAUAUGCAUACAACUCCUGAUAGCUGAAUAAUAUAAAUCAAAGAGAUUGUACGGUAUCUUAAAGAAAAGAAAAAAGGAUACAGUAAACUAGGUGAUUUGAUAAAAAAAACCCAAUUCUUAAUUGUAUACGGUGAAAGUUUGGUGGAAGGAGACCAGGCCACAAAUCUAUCUGCCUGGAGCUCUUUCACAUGUUUUCACCAGCCAUAGCUCAGGUGGAAGCAGGAUGCAUAAACAGGCCCCUGCGUCUGACUUUAAUAGAUAGACAGGAUCAUAUGCAAGGAGAUGGUCCUUCAGCUAUGAAGAAAGCCAGUGUAGUACAACAGUGUAAAUAUGAAUAGCUGUGGAGUGCACUACAGCAGUGGACCCUAAAUGCAUAGAGUUAAUGUUUCUCCUACCCAAAACUAAAAUGAGACAAAAAGCAUAGCCAAGGCAACAGAAAGCUCAGAUAGUGCAAAUUGACCAUGGGAGCAAGGUCAGAUACCACUUUGCAGCCCCCACAUUCAAUCCAAAUGUUUCCUGAACUCUUUUCUGCAAAGAUAACCAAACUCUGUACUAAAAAAGCAUUCAGUGUUCUUCUCAUGAACAAAACAAAUAAUAAAAGCAUGUAUUGAUGCCACAUAUCCUGAUGCAAGGCUAUAUUUUAUUGUAUUCCAUAUCACUGCUCAGGAUGUUGGAACCACAGGCAGGAUGCGAUUUGCUUAUAGUUUAACCACAGGUGAAUGUCAUGUCAAUAAAUAUAACUCAGCCUGUUUCACUCUUCCUGCAUCACCAAUUUGUAGCAGCUUAAUGCUAGCACAGUAACACAAUGGUGAAAGAGGACUCUAUUCUUUUAUUUCUGGUGCCUCUGCCUCCUGUGUUCUGCCUCACCAUUACUCAAAUUUCUCUGUUGUAGCAGGUCAAAAUGCGGUGUGCAAGCACCAUCUGACCUGUUUUUAAGGGGUAAAUUUCAGCUCUUGCAUCCUGAAGAUGUGGACAGAGUGCUUGCAACUGUUUGCCCAGCUCUCUGGGCACUCUUCUUAAUCCUGGGGUGGGUCCAGGGUCCAAUCUGCCUGCUGCCCUUAAACCUGCAUCUACUUCUGAAGCCCACUCUUGACAUGGAGGGUUCUUGACAACAACCACCCAGUCACAAAUAGCUCCAUCCUGGACUAGAGGCAUCAGUGUGGUGGCAGUGCAGUUACAGGAGCUUCUGGAGAAUAUUGGUUAGCUGGACCUGUUCCAAUCUGAGUUCAAGCUGCAUUUUGGAACCAGAUCAAUCUUGUUUCCCCUGAGGGGUGACCUUUAUCAGAAGAAGGAAAGGGAGAUUGUGAUGCUGUUUCUACUUGAUCUCUCAGAGGCUGUUGGUACCAAGAAUCAUGGCAUCCUCCUAGACAGCUUUUGUGAAUUAGGGGGAUUCCACUCCUACCUACAGAACUGGUUAUAGAGAAUAGGGUUGGGUGACAUCACCUCAGUCCACCAGCUAUCGUAGUGUGGUGUGCUGCAGAAUAACAUAUUGUCCACAGUGUUAUUUAACAUCUACAUGAAACCGCUGGAAGCAGCUGUUAAAUAGCAAUGUGUAGUUUGUCAUUCCCUCAUGUGAAAUGUAAAAGGUAGAACACCUCAACUUGCAACCAACAACUCAGUGGAUGGUUUCAACACUUUUUGCUGCUCCAUCACACUGUUGUACGCCAGGGAUGGGGAACCUCUGGCUCCUCAGAUGCUGCUGGAAUAUAACUCCCAUCAUCCCUGGCCAAGCCAGCUGAGGUUGAUAGGAAAUGGAGUCCAACAACCUACGAGGUGGAAAACCAGUGAUCCUCUAGCUGUACACUGUCUUGAGUUGCUAGGAGGGAGGGCAAAAUAUAAAUGUAAUAAAAUGAUAAUGCUAUCAGAUAUUGUUUAGAAGGGCAAAGUUUCCCUUUAAGUUUUUAUACAUAUAGGUACAAACAUAUGGCUACCUUUUCCCCCCUCAGGAAGAUUGUACCAUAGGAAAGCCAUGUCUCCUACGGAGCUUUACAGUGCAAUCCUAAACACAUUUACUUAGAAGUAAAUUCCACUGUUUUCAGUGGUGCUUACUCCCUAGCAAGUGUAUUUAGGAUUCAAGCCUUAAGCAAUUUAAGAGUGUGGCCCUGGGCCUCUUCCAGCACAGCACUUUGCCUCAGAAUGAAAAAUAGGAGUGCAGCGUCCUUGUUUAUUCAAAUGUACUUUGUUAGAACUCCCAUUUGAGGCUGCAACAAUCCCGCCCACAUCCACAUUCUCAAGAUUACAUCAGAACACUGGCAGGAAUUCUAAAUUCCUGGUGGAUGUCAAUUACACUCCAGGAAGCCAAGAACAUAGGAAGCCACUCACAUGCUAAAAUGAUCCUGAUGAUUGCAAAUGAGAUCUUACCUGUCACCAUCCUGAUAUUUAUCAUCAGUUUCAGCAGCAAUGAACAACUAUCCCUAGGUAACUCAUGUACACUAUGGAAGAAAACAUGUACAGUCAUGUCCUGAGACAGCAUCCUCCUAUAUAGCCUGCCUUUCCUCCACCACAAAUUGCUCAAACCAGCAUUCUUGCACUUUGCAAAGGUUCCAAAAUCCACAAUUGGGCAAUGUCUUCAUUUGGAAAGUCAAAACAUUACACGAUAGUGAGUGAGCUUUUGAUUUCUCCACAAUUUUCAAUCAGGAUAGAUGCUAGCAGGAGGAAGAAACAGGGUAGGGAAAAACACGAUUUGUGUAACAAUGUGAAGAGUUCUAGAGAACUCCAAAACUUUAUUUCUAUUUUGUGUUAUUUUUGUGUUACUAUAAAGGUAUUAAGCCACCUGUGGAUUUUAUCAUUUUCCUUAUAGAGAAACACCUCAUGUUUUAUUUGUAAUUCUUGGUCACUUUGAG